rnacentral:rRNA from 1 species
UAGAGUUUGAUCAUGGCUCAGAACGAACGCUGGCGGCAGGCCUAACACAUGCAAGUCGAGCGCGCCUUCGGGUGAGCGGCGGACGGGUUAGUAACGCGUGGGAACGUGCCCUUCUCUACGGAAUAGCCUCUGGAAACGGAGAGUAAUACCGUAUACGCCCUUUGGGGGAAAGAUUUAUCGGAGAAGGAUCGGCCCGCGUUAGAUUAGGUAGUUGGUGGGGUAAUGGCCUACCAAGCCUACGAUCUAUAGCUGGUUUUAGAGGAUGAUCAGCAACACUGGGACUGAGACACGGCCCAGACUCCUACGGGAGGCAGCAGUGGGGAAUCUUAGACAAUGGGGGCAACCCUGAUCUAGCCAUGCCGCGUGAGUGAUGAAGGCCUUAGGGUCGUAAAGCUCUUUCGCCUGUGAUGAUAAUGACAGUAGCAGGUAAAGAAACCCCGGCUAACUCCGUGCCAGCAGCCGCGGUAAUACGGAGGGGGUUAGCGUUGUUCGGAAUUACUGGGCGUAAAGCGCGCGUAGGCGGAUUAGAAAGUUGGGGGUGAAAUCCCGGGGCUCAACCCCGGAACUGCCUCCAAAACUGCUAGUCUAGAGUUCGAGAGAGGUGAGUGGAAUUCCGAGUGUAGAGGUGAAAUUCGUAGAU